GGGGGAUUAGUGGCGAACGGGUGAGUAACACGUGAGUAACCUGCCCUUAACUCUGGGAUAAGCCUGGGAAACUGGGUCUAAUACCGGAUAUGACUCCUCAUCGCAUGGUGGGGGGUGGAAAGCUUUUUGUGGUUUUGGAUGGACUCGCGGCCUAUCAGCUUGUUGGUGAGGUAAUGGCUCACCAAGGCGACGACUGGUAGCCGGCCUGAGAGGGUGACCGGCCACACUGGGACUGAGACACGGCCCACACUCCUACGGGAGGCAGCAGUGGGGAAUAUUGCACAAUGGGCGAAAGCCUGAUGCAGCGACGCCGCGUGAGGGAUGACGGCCUUCGGGUUGUAAACCUCUUUCAGUAGGGAAGAAGCGAAAGUGACGGUACCUGCAGAAGAAGCGCCGGCUAACUACGUGCCAGCAGCCGCGGUAAUACGUAGGGCGCAAGCGUUAUCCGGAAUUAUUGGGCGUAAAGAGCUCGUAGGCGGUUUGUCGCGUCUGCCGUGAAAGUCCGGGGCUCAACUCCGGAUCUGCGGUGGGUACGGGCAGACUAGAGUGAUGUAGGGGAGACUGGAAUUCCUGGUGUAGCGGUGAAAUGCGCAGAUUCAGGAGGAACCCGAUGGCGAAGGCAGGUCUCUGGGCAUUAACUGACCUCAGGAGCUAAACAUGGGGAGCGACAGGAUUAGAACCCUGGUAGCCAUGCCGUAACGUUGGGACUAGGUGUGGGGGAAUUCCACGUUUUCGCGCCGUAGCUACGCAUUAAGUGCCCGCCUGGGGAGACGGCCGCAGGCUAAACUCAAGGAUUGACG
rnacentral:rRNA from 1 species